UAAUAAGUGUUUUUAUGGCACUUUUUAAAUCCAUAUCCACCUUGUGUGCAAUGUCAGUCGAUCUUCUUCAUGGAGAUCGACCAAACAUCAACCUUUAUCUUUUAACUCUUUGUCUGAAAAAUAUUAUGAAUAAACAAUUCAAAAUA
rnacentral:misc_RNA from 1 species